rnacentral:rRNA from 1 species
CCUACGGGAGGCAGCAGUGAGGAAUAUUGGUCAAUGGACGCAAGUCUGAACCAGCCAUGCCGCGUGCAGGAAGACGGCUCUAUGAGUUGUAAACUGCUUUUGUACGAGGGUAAACGCAGAUACGCGUAUCUGUCUGAAAGUAUCGUACGAAUAAGGAUCGGCUAACUCCGUGCCAGCAGCAGCGGUAAUACGGAGGAUUCAAGCGUUAUCCGGAUUUAGUGGGUAUAAAGGGUGGGUAGGCGGUCGGAUAAGUUAGAGGUGAAAUCCCGAGGCUCAACUUCGGAAUUGCCUCUGAUACUGUUCGGCUAGAGAGUAGUAGCGGUAGGCGGAAUGUAUGGUGUAGCGGUGAAAUGCUUAGAGAUCAGACAGAACACCGAUUGCGAAGGCAGCUUACCAAGCUACUUCUGACGUUGAGGCACGAAAGCGUGGGGAGCAAACAGGAUUAGAUACCCUUGUAGUC